CUCUUUUUACUUCCACCGAUAAGGAGGUUGAAAAAUGGAUGGUCUUUAUUACCUAUCCCAAUUUUCACGCUGAAAGUCGAUUGACUAGCCGUAUAAUUUACUUAUAACGUGAAUGUUGAGGUAUCUUUUGAGGAAUGCAAAGUCUUGGAGAGAUGGAAGUAUCGAAUCCCCUGCUCCGAACCAGCCCAUGGCAUAGGUAGGAGAGUCCGUCCUGGGGCAUUCGUAAAAUCGUAAUAUUUAGGGGCCUCCAAUAUUUGUAGGGUUUUUUAUAAAUAAUGUCAGUUGGAAUUAUUUCAAUAAUUAUAUGGGCUCACAUAUUUGACGUAAAUGUGUAUGGCUAUCUAAAAGAACGUCCAAAUUAAUUGUGAUCUAACAAAGAUUAUUGGGUUAGAC
rnacentral:lncRNA from 1 species